GCACAAUGGGCGCAAGCCUGAUGCAGCCAUGCCGCGUGUAUGAAGAAGGCCUUCGGGUUGUAAAGUACUUUCAGCGGGGAGGAAGGUGUUGUGGUUAAUAACCACAGCAAUUGACGUUACCCGCAGAAGAAGCACCGGCUAACUCCGUGCCAGCAGCCGCGGUAAUACGGAGGGUGCAAGCGUUAAUCGGAAUUACUGGGCGUAAAG
rnacentral:rRNA from 1 species